AACGAACGCUGGCGGCAUGCCUAACACAUGCCAGUCGAACGAGACCUUCGGGUCUAGUGGCGCACGGGUGCGUAACGCGUGGGAACCUGCCCUUAGGUUCGGAAUAACUCCCCGAAAGGGGUGCUAAUACCGGAUAAUGUCUUCGGACCAAAGAUUUAUCGCCUUUGGAUGGGCCCGCGUUGGAUUAGCUAGUUGGUAGGGUAAAAGCCUACCAAGGCGACGAUCCAUAGCUGGUCUGAGAGGAUGAUCAGCCACACUGGGACUGAGACACGGCCCAGACUCCUACGGGAGGCAGCAGUGGGGAAUAUUGGACAAUGGGCGAAAGCCUGAUCCAGCAAUGCCGCGUGAGUGAUGAAGGCCUUAGGGUUGUAAAGCUCUUUUACCCGGGAUGAUAAUGACGGUACCGGGAGAAUAAGCGCCGGCUAACUCCGUG
rnacentral:rRNA from 1 species